rnacentral:misc_RNA from 1 species
CUGCCCCAGCCAUGGACGUCGUCGGGCCACCCGUCUCCUAUCUCCCCUCGCCCUCAUCCUCUGGCUGCUGCCCCUUCCUAUUCCUGGUGGCUGAGUCUUCUUCCAUGGAUGCUGGCCGUGCUGCCCUCCCUGGUGCUCACCUCUGCCCCCUGCGUUGGAUGGCCGGUUGCUCCUGCCCUAGGUUUGUCAAGCGCUAACUCUGCUCCAUCUAUCCCUGCUCGAAUCUUGCUGAUUGGCCCUGCGCAGAUUAUACUCAUGCCCGACCGUGGUACAACAGCAACAGCCAUGAAACCCCAUCGUGUCGCGCCCGCCCUCGACGUGUUCGACGGAAUAUCGCAGCACCUACCGUCGACGUUGUGCCUCGCGCUUCACCAAUGCGAUGAAAUGUCUGAGCGAAUAGACGACAUGCGACCCGAGUUUGAUUCUGCCAGACAGUGA